UUUGCUCAGAGCGAACGCUGGCGGCAUGCUUAACACAUGCCCGUCGCACGGGCAGCUUCGGUUGUCAGUGGCGGACGGGUGAGUAUCGCGUAGGGAUUUAUCGUUGGGUGGGGGAUAACCUUGGGAAACUGGGGCUAAUACCGCAUGACGCCUGUGGGCCAAAGCAGCAAUGCGCCUGAUGAGGAGCCUGCGUCCGAUUAGCUUGUUGGUGGGGUAAAGGCCUACCAAGGCUGCGAUCGGUAGCUGGUCUGAGAGGAUGAUCAGCCACACUGGGACUGAGACACGGCCCAGACUCCUACGGGAGGCAGCAGUGGGGAAUAUUGGACAAUGGGCGCAAGCCUGAUCCAGCAAUGCCGCGUGGAUGAAGAAGGUUUUCGGAUUGUAAAGUCCUUUCGGCGGGGACGAUGAUGACGGUACCCGCAGAAGAAGCCCCGGCUAACUUCGUGCCAGCAGCCGCGGUAAUACGAAGGGGGCUAGCGUUGCUCGGAAUGACUGGGCGUAAAGGGCGCGUAGGCGGACUGGUCAGUCAGACGUGAAAUUCCUGGGCUCAACCUGGGGGCUGCGUUUGAGACGGCUGGUCUAG
rnacentral:rRNA from 1 species